GUGGGGAAUAUUGCACAAUGGGCGCAAGCCUGAUGCAGCCAUGCCGCGUGUGUGAAGAAGGCCUUCGGGUUGUAAAGCACUUUCAGUCGUGAGGAAGGCGGGUACGUUAAUAGCGUAUUCGUUUGACGUUAGCGACAGAAGAAGCACCGGCUAACUCCGUGCCAGCAGCCGCGGUAAUACGGAGGGUGCGAGCGUUAAUCGGAAUUACUGGGCGUAAAG
rnacentral:rRNA from 2 species